rnacentral:rRNA from 1 species
UACGAAGGGGGCUAGCGUUGCUCGGAAUUACUGGGCGUAAAGGGAGCGUAGGCGGGUUAUCAAGUUGGAGGUGAAAGCCCAGGGCUCAACCUUGGAAUUGCCUUCAAAACUGAUAGCCUAGGGUAUGGAAGAGGUAAGUGGAACUCCGAGUGUAGAGGUGAAAUUCGUAGAUAUUCGGAAGAACACCAGUGGCGAAGGCGACUUACUGGUCCAUGACUGACGCUGAGGCUCGAAAGCGUGGGGAGCAAACAGG